UAAACUUUAUACAACUUUCAACAACGGAUCUCUUGGCUCUCGCAUCGAUGAAGAACGCAGCGAAAUGCGAUAAGUAAUGUGAAUUGCAGAUUUUCAGUGAAUCAUCGAAUCUUUGAACGCACCUCGCGCUCCUCGGUAUACCGAGGAGCAUGCCUGUUUGAGUGUCAUUAAAUUCUCAACUCCAAAGGGUUUCACGACCUCUUGGAGAUUGGACUUGGAGCGUGCCGGCGUCCACGUCGGCUCCUCUCAAAUGCAUCAGCGGAAUUCAAUCUUUGGGCUUCCGGAGUCGGUGUGAUAAUCAUGUUGCGCUGUCGUCGGAAUCCUCAGAGUCCGCUCAUUAAUGGUCUUUGGACAAAUCAUCAUCAAAUUUUGACCUCAAAUCAGGUAGGACUACCCGCUGAACUUAAGCAUAUCAAUAAGCGGAGGAAAAGAAACUAACAAGGAUUCCCCUAGUAACUGCGAGUGAAGCGGGAAAAGCUCAAAUUUAAAAUCUGGCGGUCUUUCGGCCGUCCGAGUUGUAAUCUGGAGAAGCGUUUAUCCGCGUUGGACCGUGUACAAGUCUUCUGGAAGGGAGCGUCAUAGAGGGUGAGAAUCCCGUCUUUGACACGGACUACCAAUGCUUUUGUGAUGCGCUCUCGAAGAGUCGAGUUGUUUGGGAAUGCAGCUCAAAAUGGGUGGUAAAUUCCAUCUAAAGCUAAAUAUUGGCGAGAGACCGAUAGCGAACAAGUACCGUGAGGGAAAGAUGAAAAGCACUUUGGAAAGAGAGUUAAACAGUACGUGAAAUUGUUGAAAGGGAAACGUUUGAAGUCAGUCGCGUCGGCCGAGACUCAGCCUUGCUUCCGCUCGGUGCACUUCUCGGUUGACGGGUCAGCAUCAAUUUCGACCGCCGGAUAAAGGUUGAGGGAACGUGACAUCUUUCGAGGUGUGUUAUAGCCCUCGAUUCGCAUACGGCGAUUGGGAUUGAGGAACUCAGCGCGCCUUUAUGGUCGGGGUAGCAACCCACGUAACGCGCUCAGGAUGCUGGCAUAAUGGCUUUAAGCGACCCGUCUUGAAACACGGACC
rnacentral:rRNA from 1 species